ensembl:lncRNA
CAGAUCACAAGGCAAAGGAAAUUACAAUCAAAAUCCAAGAAACCGAAGAAUGGAUCCCAGCCAGUUUUCCAAUCAGCCUCCAGAAGCCUACAAUUCAUCUGAGAAAUCAGGGAUGCCUACAGCAGCACCACCAGCAUACCAGCACAAUCCUGCUGGAUAUCCUCCUUCCUUUCCAAACCAGCCGGUCCCCCAGGGCCCCUACACCCAGGGACCAUAUCCAGGACAGCCUGUGGUCACUGUGCAGCCUGCAGUUUUUGUGACUGCUGCUCCACUGGCUGAUCCAGUGCCAGAUUACCUGGGUUACUCCAUCUUCACCAUGCUGUGCUGCUGCUUACCUCUGGGCAUCGCUGCGCUGAUUUACUCCAUCUCUACUCGAGAUGCCUACUACUCAGGACAGCGAGAAUUAGCAGAGAAGAACUCCAAAAUGGCACUGGUGCGUCUGGCAGUUAAUCUGAGAGGAUUGUACAACCCACGUAUAUAUAGUAUGUGUGUAAUAGGUCUUCACGAUUGAAUAUCUUUAAAGAAACUCCCAAACAAUUUAACAAUCUGAGGAUAAAUUAAUAAACAAAUAAAUGACU